AGUGAGAGCGUACACAGGUGGCUGCAUGGCUGUCGUCAGCUCGUGUCGUGAGAUGUUGGGUUAAGUCCCGCAACGAGCGCAACCCUGCAUUCAGUUGCCAUCGGUAAGGCCGGGCACUCUGGAUGGACUGCCGGCGACAAGCCGGAGGAAGGUGGGGACGACGUCAAGUCAUCAUGGCCCUUAUGUCCAGGGCGACACACGUGCUACAAUGGCCGGCACAACGGGAAGCGAAGGGGCGACCCUGAGCGGAUCCCACAAAAGCCGGUCUCAGUUCGGAUUGCAGUCUGCAACUCGACUGCAUGAAGUUGGAAUCGCUAGUAAUCGUGGAUCAGCCAAGCCGCGGUGAAUACGUUCCCGGGCCUU
rnacentral:rRNA from 1 species